rnacentral:rRNA from 1 species
ACGAACGCUGGCGGCGUGCCUAAUCCAUGCAAGUAGAACGCUGAAGGAGGAGCUUGCUCUUCUGGAUGAGUUGCGAACGGGUGAGUAACGCGUAGGUAACCUGCCUGGUAGCGGGGGAUAACUAUUGGAAACGAUAGCUAAUACCGCAUAACAGUAGAUGUUGCAUGACAUUUGCUUAAAAGGUGCAAUUGCAUCACUACCAGAUGGACCUGCGUUGUAUUAGCUAGUUGGUGGGGUAACGGCUCACCAAGGCGACGAUACAUAGCCGACCUGAGAGGGUGAUCGGCCACACUGGGACUGAGACACGGCCCAGACUCCUACGGGAGGCAGCAGUAGGGAAUCUUCGGCAAUGGACGGAAGUCUGACCGAGCAACGCCGCGUGAGUGAAGAAGGUUUUCGGAUCGUAAAGCUCUGUUGUAAGAGAAGAACGAGUGUGAGAGUGGAAAGUUCACACUGUGACGGUAUCUUACCAGAAAGGGACGGCUAACUACGUG